AGACCCGAAACCCGGUGAUCUAGCCAUGGGCAGGUUGAAGGUUGGGUAACACUAACUGGAGGACCGAACCGACUAAUGUUGAAAAAUUAGCGGAUGACUUGUGGCUGGGGGUGAAAGGCCAAUCAAACCGGGAGAUAGCUGGUUCUCCCCGAAAGCUAUUUAGGUAGCGCCUCGUGAAUUCAUCUCCGGGGGUAGAGCACUGUUUCGGCAAGGGGGUCAUCCCGACUUACCAACCCGAUGCAAACUGCGAAUACCGGAGAAUGUUAUCACGGGAGACACACGGCGGGUGCUAACGUCC
rnacentral:rRNA from 1 species